UACAUGGGGGGCAAGCGUUGUUCGGAAUUACUGGGCGUAAAGGGCUCGUAGGCGGCCCACUAAGUCACAGGUGAAAUCCCCAGGCUUAACCUGGGAACUGCGUGUGAUACUGGAUGGCUUGAAUUCGGGAGAGGGAUGCAGAAUUCCAGGUGUAGCGGUGAAAUGCGUAGAUAUCUGGAGGAACACCGGUGGCGAAGGCGGCAUCCUGGACCGACACUGACGCUGAGGAGCGAAAGCUAGGGGAGCAAACGGG
rnacentral:rRNA from 1 species